rnacentral:rRNA from 1 species
GAUGAACGCUGGCGGCGUGCCUAAUACAUGCAAGUCGAGCGAACGGACGAGGAGCUUGCUUCUCUGAUGUUAGCGGCGGACGGGUGAGUAACACGUGGAUAACCUACCUAUAAGACUGGGAUAACUUCGGGAAACCGGAGCUAAUACCGGAUAAUAUUUUGAACCGCAUGGUUCAAAAGUGAAAGACGGUCUUGCUGUCACUUAUAGAUGGAUCCGCGCUGCAUUAGCUAGUUGGUAAGGUAACGGCUUACCAAGGCAACGAUGCAUAGCCGACCUGAGAGGGUGAUCGGCCACACUGGAACUGAGACACGGUCCAGACUCCUACGGGAGGCAGCAGUAGGGAAUCUUCCGCAAUGGGCGAAAGCCUGACGGAGCAACGCCGCGUGAGUGAUGAAGGUCUUCGGAUCGUAAAACUCUGUUAUUAGGGAAGAACAUAUGUGUGAGUAACUGUGCACAUCUUGACGGUACCUAAUCAGAAAGCCACGGCUAACUACGUG